rnacentral:lncRNA from 1 species
GGUAGUCCAAUAAAUGUUAAAUAUGUUAAAAUACAUAUUAAGUCCAAUAUAUGCCUACAUAUUUAUAUAGUUAUCUUGCUGCACGAGAAAAAUCAGAUCAAGAAGGAAGAAAAAGAAAAACUGAGAAUGAAAACAAAAUGCAAGCAAAAAACAGAGAGAGUGAGAAUGCUAUGUUGUGUUCCACACUCUGUUACCACAGUUCUCUCUCUGGGUGCAGAUGGCUUUCUUCAUCACUGAACAAGUGUAACUGGUUUGAAUCAUCUCAUUGUUGAAGAGAGUUACAUCCAUUAGAACUGAUCAUCAUAUAGCCUUGUUGCCGUGUAUAAUGAUCUUCUGGUUCUCAUGCAUAUGUUUUGAAAAUAAAAUAACUUUAAUAUAAAAAAAUCAGAUUUUUUUUCCUGUACUGAUGAAUAACAGAUAAUCAUCUGCCAUAAAUAUUUUCCUUCCCUAGUAAUCACUGCUAAUCCUGUUCAGUACCAAAGCUCAAAAUUUACCCAGUGGUUUUUAUAGUAUAAACUUCAGUGGAUAUAUCACUGUGUUUCCUGACCACCUUGACUCAGCCCUAAACCAAAACCUUACUCCUCCCAACUUCUUCAGCUCUCUCCCCACUUGAUCUGAGGUGAAGAAAGGAGGCAACUACCAUUCUUUGAUGUUAAGAGAAAACACCUGUGUCACACAGAACAAAUUGCCAUCCUAAGAAUAGAAACCCCACUGCAAAAUAACAAUUCUACUCAAAUUCUGGGUGUGAACUCAAAUUCUGGUUAGUAGUUGCCUGGUCUGGUAGAAGUUAGCUGCACAUUUCUCCAGCCUGUCCCUUUCUACUCACAGCACACCCACUCUAAUUCACACAAUCCCUCAACACCUUUCUCCUUGACUUUUGAAAUAGUCUUCUAAUGUAUCAUCUACUACAAUCUAUUUUCUCCAGAGCAUACAAAGAGCUGCUAAAUUGUUAUCCCCAAAGUUCUGACCAUUUUCCACUCCAGAAGUUUCAUGUGGCCCCUUCUUGCCUCUAGGAGAAAUUUCACUUAUCUUUAAAACUUCAUAAUCUUUUUUUUUUGCCUCUAAUGUUAUUUAUUUUAAUCUGAAUUUAAGAAAUAAAACAAACAUUUGCAUAUCAUCAAAAAUGAGGGGGAAAUAUGAUUGUUUAUGAAACUGGAAAUCUCUGAUGCAUACUGGUUAUGUGACCCUUGGCAAAUUAUUUACUUUCUUUUUUAUUAUAUUAUAUAUAUAUUAUAUUAUGUAUAUUUU